AAUAAGUGCAGCCAUGAGUUUUCGCGUCCAACUUUGAUCGUCCGUCUUAUUUAAAAUUUUUUUAUAAUUAGCAAUUUUGUUGUUAUAAGAUAAUAAAAUAUGAAUAGUACUUUACUCGUGACUUAUGUUUUUAAUUUUUUUCAAAAAAUUUUCAAAUAAGACGAAUAAUUAAAGUUGAGCGCUGAAAACCAUGGCUGCACUUAUU
rfam:Oryza glaberrima chromosome 7 Oglab07_0035_5, whole genome shotgun sequence.